CAAAGUUUUGGUCCUAAACUUACUAUUGUUUUUUAUCAAAGUUACACAUGCAAGCAUCUACAUGCCAGUGAAAAUGCCCACAAACCCUAGACAGCUAACUGGAGCAGGUAUCAGGCUCAACCGCCACAGCCCAAAACACCUUGCUAUGCCACACCCCCACGGGCCUUCAGCAGUGAUUAACAUUAAGAUAUAAGCGAAAGCUUGACUUAGUUAUGAUUAACAUGGUCGGUAAAUUUCGUGCCAGCCACCGCGGUUACACGAAAGACUUAAAACAAUAGGCUUCGGCGUAAAGCGUGAACAGAGAAUACGCCUAAAUAUUAAAGAAAAAUUAUAAUAAAGCUGUAAAACGCCCAAACUAACAAGAACCCCAAGAAUCUUUAAACAAAAGGCUGCUUAACUCACGAAAGCCAAGAGACAAACUGGGAUUAGAUACCCCACUAUGCUUGGCCCUAAACACAGACAAUACUCACACACUAUUGUCCGCCAGAGAACUACAAGCGAAAAACUCGAAACUCCAAGGACUUGGCGGUGCCUCAUAUCAACCUAGAGGAGCCUGUCCUAUAAUCGAUACCCCACGUUUAACCUUACCACCUUUUGCCAUUAGCCUAUAUACCGCCGUCGUCAGCCUACCUCAUGAGAGAAAAACAGUAGGCAAAAUAGUUAACUACGCACACGUCAGGUCAAGGUGUAGCACAUAAGAUGGAAGAGAUGGGCUACAUUUUCUGCCACAGAACACACGAACAGUCUGAUGAAACUCGGACUUAAAGGUGGAUUUAGUAGUAAGAUAGACAAGAGAACCUAUCUUAAACUUGCCCUGAGGCGCGCACACACCGCCC
rnacentral:ncRNA from 1 species